rnacentral:rRNA from 1 species
AAUUGGUGGCCUGCAUGAAAGACUUAAUGAUAUGGUGUUUAUUAUUUUAGAUUUUUAUUAAACUGGUAUUUGACGUGAAGAUAUUUUAUUAGACUAUAAGACAGUUAGACCCUAUGAAGCUUUGUAUUAUUAUUGGUUUAUUUAUUUCUGGUGUUUCUUUGGGGAGUAGUCCUCAUUAUUUAUUCUGAGACGAUUAAUGGUUUGGCGUGUGACUUGUAAAAUAGUAUUUCUUUCUUUCAGGUAUCUUGUUUUAGAUUUUCGUAUUAAUGUAUUUGAAUAUAGUUACUCUAGGGUUAACAGGCUUAACUGUUCUUAGAGUUCGCAUCAAAAUAACAUGUUGGCACCUCGAUGUCGGCUUAUUCUUGUUAUCUUUGUAUUGCGAGAUCCAAUUAGUAUGUGCUCAAUACUAGUUGUAGUGUACGUGAGCUGG